rnacentral:rRNA from 1 species
GAUGAACGCUGGCGGCGUGCCUAAUACAUGCAAGUCGAACGCAUUGUGGUUGAAAUGAUAUGAAGAACUUGUUCAGAUUUGAUUUUCAACAUUGCAAUGAGUGGCGAACGGGUGAGUAUCACGUGGGAAACCUACCUCUUAGUAGGGGAUAACAUUUGGAAACAAAUGCUAAUACCGUAUAAUAAUUAAAACCGCAUGGUUUUAGUUUAAAAGAUGGUCUUGCUAUCACUAAGAGAUGGUCCCGCGGUGUAUUAGUUAGUUGGUGAGGUAAUGGCUCACCAAGACAAUGAUACAUAGCCGAGUUGAGAGACUGACCGGCCACAAUGGGACUGAGACACGGCCCAUACUCCUACGGGAGGCAGCAGUAGGGAAUCUUCCACAAUGGACGAAAGUCUGAUGGAGCAACGCCGCGUGUGUGAUGAAGGGUUUCGGCUCGUAAACACUGUUGUAAGAGAAGAAUGACAUUGAGAGUAACUGUU